rnacentral:lncRNA from 1 species
CUUCAUCAUCUUGUGAGCAUCUGGGCCAAGUUCAGGGCUGGUGCUCUCGUUCAGAUAGAUUUAGCUGGUGGUGCAGAGAUCCGUGAGCUUGCUUUUACAGGACUUUAAUGAUAUAUAAAAGCAGCACGAGGUGCUCCUGACUGUGGAUUAAUUUGGAGAUGACUUUCUCUGUUGAAGAGUAGCAAGACUCUCGCGAGUUCUUAAAAAUGCACUUGUUUGGUAUGAGAAUGAAAAGCAGUGGCUGAAGAACCAAUCUUCAAUGGGCAAGCCUUCUCUGUGUCUGUUCUAACACGUGCCAUUUGGGAUCCCUUGGAAUCUUCAUGUACAGAACUGGUUGCUGCCUCGUUGAGUCGGUGGGGACAGAAUAGCUCCUGGUUGACAGCAUGGGUUGUGCAGAAGGACGGAUCCUGCAGACAUCAAUAUCUGGCUUUGAGUGGCACAAAGAAAUAAAGGAAUGUGGAUUCAGACCUCACUGGGAUGCUUGGCAAUUCUAAUUCUACCCCAGACUGCAAAUGGACACACAACUGUUGUGACUUUUGUUGAAGAGGAGAAGGAUGGUGAAGGUCUCUUUAGUCAAUAAUCUCUUUGCUGAAAUUGCUUCGGGCAGCACAGAAGCUGGAUUCAGAAGCACACAGGUCUGGGGAUGCAGGCUUCGGCCAGCCUGAUGCAAGGAAAGACUGCCAUCUCGUGGUCAGCUCAAUCCUGGCACCUUGGUGAGGGACCAGGCUGCAGAAAACCAGGCUUGGGGAGGAAACGGUGCUGCAAACUGGAUUUCUGCCGGACAGUGUGGAUGCCCUUAGAAAACACCCAGAAAAGAGCUGAGUGCCCCCCAAGGCUGUUUCCCAUAUAAGGUUCAUGACCCCCAGUGAGGAUGAAACUGCCUGCAAGGUUUGUCUUCUCUCCUGUUCACUGGUUACUCAGCCAGGCUGAUUCAUGGGCUUCUCAAAGGAGCUUGUUUAUCAGAAGCUUGUCUAAGACACCACGUCUUCCAGAAAAUCUCACCUGAGUCACCAACAGAUUCCUCUAAGAGUCUGUAAGCCACUCCUGACCAGCAGGAAACCCCAACAGAGGCAAAGAAUAGGAAAUUAAAUAUUUCGUCAAGAAAAAAUGAGAGGCUGGGUGCGGUGGCUCAUGCCUAUAUCCCAGCACUUUAGGAGGCCUAAGCGGGCGGAUCAUUUGAGGUCAGGAGUUUGAGACCAGCCCGGCCAACAUGGUGAAACCCUGUCUCUACUAAAAAUACAAAAACAAUUAGCUGGGCAUGGUGGUGGGUGCUUGUAAUCCCAGCUACUGGGGGAGGCUGAGGCGGGAGAAUCGCUGAAACCCAGGAGACAGAAGUUGCUGUGAGCCGAGACCACACCACUGCACUCCAGCCUGGGUGAGAGUGAGACUGUCUCAAAAAAAAAAAAAAAAAAAAAAAAAAAGCAAGAAAGCUCCCAUUUAGAUCACUCGGACAAAAGAUUUCUUUUUGUGCCAAAAUGUUCCACUAGGCUUCCAGUUUUUACCACAUAACUUGACAGUCAUGCAAGACUUAAGUGUAUUUUCAGCUAUCCUUUCUCUUUCAUUUAUUUCUGUUUAAUAAGCUCUGUCCAUUGAUUCUAGUUAGUACAUUAUAUAUCUUUUUAAUCACUUACCUGCAGUGAGCAUCUUUCCAUGUUGGUAAAUACCGGUGCUACUACUGUUACUACUGAGUACUUAUUCCAUGUCAAAUCCUCUGCCAAGCAUUUUCAAGCAUUGUCUCAUUGCCUUCUUGCCACAACCCUAUGAAGAGGCCGUGACUGUCCUCAUCCAAUGGAGGAGGAAGCUAAGGCUGAGAGCAAUUAACACAGCUGUGAGUGAACAGGUAGGAUUUAAAGCCAGGCAGUAUGAUUCCGGAGCCUACGCUUUUAAUCACUGUUAUUUUACUCUCCUCCACUCCCCAAAUAUACUGCAUUUUUUUUGUGUGAUUGUAUUGUAUUAUUCUGUUCUAGAUGUACUAUGAUUGAUUUCGUCCAUGCUGUAAUUACACUUCGGUUGGUUUUAGUUUUCACUACUACAAAUGGUGUUGCAACGAACGUCUUUGUGGGCAAAUCUUUACAGGUCAUGAAUGACCCUUUCCUUAGGACACAUAUUGCCAAGCUGAUCUCCACAAAGGUAGUACACGCCCAUCAUAUUGUACAAAAGUAUUCUUUGCCCUCCACCCUUGACACUGGGUUGCAUCUAUUUUUUAAUUAUUGCUGUUAGGAUAGAAGAACAAGGCUGACACAUUGUUGUUUCAGUUUGUAAGCUAGAACACUUCAUUGCACAUUAGCUGUAUUCCUUAGGUGUAUUUCUUGUUCAUGUCCUUUGCCCUCUGAGGUUUGUCUCUUUAUCACAGAUUUGAGAACUUUUUGUAUAUGUCUUAUAUUUUUAGAAUUAAUAAAUUUAGGGCAUAAACCCAAUAGAAAGAAAAACAGACUCAUUCUGUGUUUUGCAUAGCAUCUUACCUCCUAUCCUUCCUCCACAUUGAUAGUAAAGCAUAAGAAAUGAUUCCUGUGCCCAGAGGUUGAAAGCAGGUCCAUUUUAACAAAGUCACUUGGAAGCAUCCCCUUUCUCCAAAAGAAGCUCCCAGCUUCUCCUCCUGCUCUUCGGUCUCAGAGGAAGGGAAGAUGUUGGAGAGGAGCAUAAAAACUUACUUUGGGCCAGGCGCGGUGGCUCACGCCUGUAAUCCCAGCACUUUGGGAGGCCGAGAAGGGCAGAUCAUGAGGUCAGGAGAUCGAGACUAUCCUGGCUAACACAGUGAAACCUUGUCUCUACUAAAAAUACAAAAAAUUAGCCAGGUGUGGUGGCGGGUGCCUGUAGUCCCAGCUACUUGGGAGGCUGAGGCAGGAGAAUGGCAUGAACUCGGGAGGCGGAACUUACAGUGAGCCGAGAUGGCACCACUGCACUCCAGCCUGGGUGACAGAGUGAGACUUUGUCUCAAAAACAAAAACAAAAACAAAAACAACAAAAUAAAACAAAACAAAAACUUACUCUGUAGGGGCCACAUAAUCAGACAACUGGCUUGAGCAGGCCCUAUGCCAUCUUUUAUUGAUAAUGAUGAAUCGGAGCGGCCAGGCCUGGUAUGUGAGUUUUGGACGUGAUCCUAAGUGGAGUUGUCUUGUUUAUACUUGUUUUCCCUUUGUUAUUAUUUUGGCAUUAUCAUGGAUAAUUCCAUACUUCUAGGGUGUAAUUCCAGUGUAAUUAAACUUGAACAGCCCAAUAUCACACAAUUGAUUACAUACAGCAUUUAUUUCUAAGUAUUUCAGGGCUACGAGUGUGACCAAUGCCUGGGGGUGUUGAGAGCUAAUUCAGGUGCCACCCUGCUGGUCUGAUGGCUCAAGAGGGCUGGUCACACACAAACCAUGGGGUUCAUGGGAUGUAGAUCUUCA